AAACCAACAGGGAUUGCCCCAGUAACGGCGAGUGAAGCGGCAACAGCUCAAAUUUGAAAUCUGGCCCCCCUCCACGGGGACCCGAGUUGUAAUUUGCAGAGGAUGCUUCUGGCGCGGCGCCUUCCGAGUUCCCUGGAACGGGACGCCAUAGAGGGUGAGAGCCCCGUCUGGUUGGACGCCUAGCCUCUGUGAAGCACCUUCGACGAGUCGAGUAGUUUGGGAAUGCUGCUCAAAAUGGGAGGUAUAUGUCUUCUAAAGCUAAAUACCGGCCAGAGACCGAUAGCGCACAAGUAGAGUGAUCGAAAGAUGAAAAGCACUUUGAAAAGAGGGUUAAACAGUACGUGAAAUUGUUGAAAGGGAAGCGCUCAUGACCAGACUUGGGCCCCGCGCAUCACCCGGCGUUCUCGCCGGGGCACUUCGCGGGGCCCAGGCCAGCAUCAGUUCGCGGCGGGGGACAAAGGCUUCGGGAACGUGGCUCCCUCGGGAGUGUUACAGCCCGCUGCGCAAUGCCCUGCCGCGGACUGAGGUUCGCGCUUCCGCAAGGAUGCUGGCGUAAUGGUCAUCAGCGAC
rnacentral:rRNA from 1 species